GACGAACGCUGGCGGCGUGCUUAACACAUGCAAGUCGAGCGGUAAGGCCCUUCGGGUACACGAGCGGCGAACGGGUGAGUAACACGUGGGUGACCUGCCUCUAGCUCUGGGAUAAGCCUGGGAAACUGGGUCUAAUACCGGAUAUGACUCCACGGCGCAUGUUGUGGGGUGGAAAGCCUUGUGUGGCUAGAGAUGGGCCCGCGGCCUAUCAGCUUGUUGGUGGGGUGAGGCCUACCAAGGCGACGACGGGUAGCCGGCCUCGAGAGGGCGACCGGCCACACUGGGACUGAGACACGGCCCAGACUCCUACGGGAGGCAGCAGUGGGGAAUCUUGCGCAAUGGGCGAAAGCCUGACGCAGCGACGCCGCGUGAGGGAUGACGGCC
rnacentral:rRNA from 1 species